AUACGAAGUCGGACCUGCCCAGUGAGUUUUAAACGGCCGCGGUACUCUGACCGUGCAAAGGUAGCAUAAUCACUUGCCUUAUAAUUGAAGGCUGGAAUGAAUGGUUUGACAAGAAUACGUCUGUCUCUUUUAGAUUGCUUAGAAUUUUAUCUUCGGAUGAAAAAGUCCAGAUAUUAUUAAAAGACAAGAAGACCCUAUCGAGCUUUAGAGGAGUUAAUAGGUCUUUGGUUGGGGCAACCGAGGAGUAAACAAAACCUCCUCUUGUGUUGAUCCAAAGUUUUUGAUCAAAGAAAUUAGUUACCGUAGGGAUAACAGCAUUAUUUUUUUUAAGAGCCCAUAUCGAAAAAAAAGUUUGUGACCUCGAUGUUGGACCAGAAUAUCCUAAAGAUGCAGAAGUCUUUAAGGGUUGGUCUGUUCGACCAUUAAAAUUCU
rnacentral:rRNA from 1 species